AUUGAACGCUGGCGGCAUGCCUUACACAUGCAAGUCGAACGGCAGCACGGGAGCUUGCUCCUGGUGGCGAGUGGCGAACGGGUGAGUAAUACAUCGGAACGUACCCUGAAGUGGGGGAUAACGUAGCGAAAGUUACGCUAAUACCGCAUAUUCUGUGAGCAGGAAAGAGGGGGAGUCGCAAGACCUCUUGCUUUAGGAGCGGCCGAUGUCGGAUUAGCUAGUUGGUGAGGUAAAGGCUCACCAAGGCGACGAUCCGUAGCGGGUCUGAGAGGAUGAUCCGCCACACUGGGACUGAGACACGGCCCAGACUCCUACGGGAGGCAGCAGUGGGGAAUUUUGGACAAUGGGCGCAAGCCUGAUCCAGCCAUGCCGCGUGAGUGAAGAAGGCC
rnacentral:rRNA from 1 species